rnacentral:rRNA from 1 species
UGGGGAAUAUUGCACAAUGGGCGCAAGCCUGAUGCAGCCAUGCCGCGUGUGUGAAGAAGGCCUUCGGGUUGUAAAGCACUUUCAGCGAGGAGGAAGGUGGUGAGCUUAAUACGCUCAUCAAUUGACGUUACUCGCAGAAGAAGCACCGGCUAACUCCGUGCCAGCAGCCGCGGUAAUACGGAGGGUGCAAGCGUUAAUCGGAAUUACUGGGCGUAAAGCGCACGCAGGCGGUUUGUUAAGUCAGAUGUGAAAUCCCCGGGCUCAACCUGGGAACUGCAUUUGAAACUGGCAAGCUAGAGUCUCGUAGAGGGGGUAGAAUUCCAGGUGUAGCGGUGAAAUGCGUAGAGAUCUGGAGGAAUACCGGUGGCGAAGGCGGCCCCCUGGACGAAGACUGACGCUCAGGUGCGAAAGGCGUGGGGCAGCAAACAGGAUUAGAUACCCUGGUAGUCCACGCUGUAAACGAUGUCGAUUUU